GGGGGAGUUUCUUCUGGGUGAGAGAGGACAUGUUCCAAGCAUUUCAUGGCCCAGUGAUGACCUCUUCCUAAAAUAGCACCUAAAGACCAUUAACUUCUGGAACAAGGCAGGAGGAAAAAGGGAUGACAGCUGGAGGAGCUGGCUGCUUCUGGGAGUUAAUGCUCAUGGAAUGAGGUCAAACAUCCACAUGACUGGGCCGGGCUAAUCCUAUGACUGAGAAGAGCCAGGAACAUAGACUGCCUCUCAGGCCUGUCCUUUGGUGCACCCUGCUUUUGGAAAGAGUGGUCAUGCUGGUGAAAUCACUGAAUGUGACUCCAGAGAGUCUUGGUCCUACUCCCGGCCCUUCUUUUCAUCUGCAGAAUGAACAGAGAGGUAAAUUGAUCCUCUGCAGGAGAGCAGCUUACCUGUUCAAUAAAGCACAGAAAACUGGUAUGCCUGUUUUCAGAGCUGACAUCCAUGAAGAUGUCUGUGAGACCAUACUUGGG